rnacentral:sRNA from 1 species
GAUGCUCUCGGAGGAGCCCUACGAAACGUAUCACCCGGAAUUUCCAGAUCCAGAGAUUCGACGAAUAGCUCUAAAAAGCUCGGCAGUCGUCGAGCUGCUCCGAAUCGAAUCACCAUCUUCAUUUUUCUGCCGUCCCGUCGAUCAUGUCACCGAUGAUCAAUUAUUGAUUCGCGAACCGUACCGCCUAACAACUCGAAUUAUCGAUUUUUCGGCGGGAAACAUGGCGAUGGCUCCGCUCCGGCCACGUGUAUUCGCUCGAUGUUUAAUUUUGAAAAAUUUGGAGCUUAUCGAGGCCGCCCGGAUUUUUUUCAUCGAUUCUGCGGUCACUGCUAAUGUUUCGUGGAAAUGUCUGUUUCAAAUUGAUGAAAAUCUCAAAUUUCACCCAUGGCAGGCGAUGCAUUGCACUUUGGGACGUUUGGUGCACCUUUCGGUCUGAUUUUUAGCACUUUUUAACCCAGAAAUUCAAAUUUCCCGCCGAUCGCAUGUUGUAAAUGCGCUCUAUAGAGCAAAAAUGUGUGCAUUUUUCCUGAUGAAAAUCCACGGAUUUCUGGCUGGCUUACCUCAUAAAUUAUUGAAAUGGAAGAGUUAUUGCCGAACUAGGCCAUUUUGGCUCGGCCAUAUAUGGGGUAGAUUUACGGCGCGUUGCGUGUCGCGUCGCGGUUCGAUUUUAGUUAUAAAACUAAUGCGUUUGUCCGUGUGGAGUACACGGCUUUCCCACGCGUUGUCCGGCAGGCGAUUGUCAAUGGAGCGCGAAAAAUUCGAGGAAGAAGACCAGAACCCCGUGAGAAAUUCAAAUUUCCCGCCGUUGCAAAUGCGCUCCAUGGCAAAAAUGUGCAUUUUUCCUGAUGAAAAUCGUAAAAAAUUGACUGGAAAACUAUAAAAUAGAGAUUUCCAUCUGAAAAUUCAAAUUUUCAAACGAAAUAUUGAAAGUGCGCUCCAUUGAGAAAAACCGGACAUUUGAAUUUUUGAGAGGAAAUUGGGGUUUUUGAUGGUUUUUUAACCUAAAAAUGCUAUUUUUCAGCUAAAAUUGACCUGAAAAAUACGAAAAAAUCCAACAAUAAACGGAGAUUUUUCAUUGGAGCGCACUUGCAACACGCAAUCUGAAUUUGAAUUGCCCGCCAAAAAUGUUUUUAAACAAUUUACAAAAAAAAAAUCGAUUUUUUGAAAAUUAUUGAUUUUUCAAAAAUUAUCGAUUUUUUCAGGACUCAUGGACAGACACCCAGUGCACCGAAUUUCGAAAUAUUGUCUCUAAAUUUGCAAAAUUUCAAAUUACCGCCAACCAGUGUGACGUGGAUUUUCGCUCGGACCGCCCGUCUCUUCUCGUGAACCUGUACGGAUUGCCAAAUGGAACAGAAAUCGAUAAAAAAGUGGCGAUCGAGGAGAUUUGCGCGGUUUCUAUGCAAAAUGUUAUGGUCUCUCAAUUUCCCACUAAUUUUAUGGGUAUAAUUUUUGAAUUUUUGGAAAAAAAAAAUUUCGCGAAAAUUUCAAAAACCCGAAAAACCCGAACAAAGUUUAUAUAACAUUCGAAUUCAGCACGCCGAGAGCUUUGAUUUAAGUAUAAUCAUGACUAUGGGUUACGAGUAAUUGGGUCCCACCACGAAAAUCCCCGGGGUUACUGUAGUUUUUCGUGGUGGGACCCGGAAAAUUUUCAAAAUCAAUGGAAUCUGGUCAUGAUUAUACUUAAAUGGAAGCAUUCAAACAGCUGAAUUUGAAUUUCAUAGUUUUGUUUUAAAAAAAUGAAAAAUUUCCGAAAAAUUUGGGUCUCGCCACGAAACCCCGAAAUUUUUGGUUUUUCCGCUAUUUUUUUGGUUUAAAACAUGGAAUGUGUUUAAAAUGUCAUAAAAAACUAAUUUUUCUCAAACAUUAUCUAAAAAAAAAUCGAAAUUUGGAUUAGUUUUUCAUAGAAAAUGUCAAAAAAGGAAUAAAAAAUUCAAAAAUUUUUGUAAAAAUCAAAUUCACUACAUUUCUAGCUUCAAUUUAAGUAUAAUAAUGACCAAUUUUGCUAGAAUUUGAACAAAAAAUCGGGUCCCACCGCGAAAACUACAGUACCCCUGAGGUUUUCGUGGCGGGACCCAACUUUUUUAAAGAUUUAGCAAAAAAGGUCAUGAUUAUAUUCAAAUUGAAGCUCUCAGUGAGACACAAUCAGUCGAAAUAUGAAUUUUCAGAAAAAAAUUAAUUUUGAAAAAUUUUGGUUAAAAAAAAAAAAAUAAAAACAUUUUUUUUUUUUUUGAAAAUUUUUUUCCAGUCAAUCCCAAGCUCGAGGAGCUCGACAAAGAGCAAGACCACCUCGACGUGAUUCUUCUCGAAGAGUUCCGCCGGGACCUCCCAGCCGACUGGGCUCACGAGCCGCCUGCCGAUUACCGUGAAGACGACGCCGACUGGGAUAUACUGCAGUGCCACGUGGCAGAAUGGAAUGACACGGCACUCGAGCAAUUCCGAAGAGCCGAUGGAAGCUUUUGGGCGAUGCUCGAGCCGAGUUGCACCGUAUCACCCUGGGAAAUGCACGUUACACCGAUUUUGGCACCGGAAAAGAUGUCUG